GGUUGUGUAGUGUAGUGGUAAUCACUGUAGGUUUCCAACCUUCCGGCAACCCCGGUUCGAACCCGGGCACGACCU